rnacentral:rRNA from 1 species
UACAGAGGUCUCAAGCGUUGUUCGGAUUCAUUGGGCGUAAAGGGUGCGUAGGCGGCGCGGUAAGUCGGGUGUGAAAUCUUGGAGCUUAACUCCGAAACUGCAUUCGAUACUGCCGUGCUUGAGGACUGGAGAGGAGACUGGAAUUUACGGUGUAGCGGUGAAAUGCGUAGAUAUCGUAAGGAACACCAGUGGCGAAGGCGGCUAUCUGGACGGUUUCUGACGCUAAGACGCGAAAGCGUGGGGAGCAAACAGG